rnacentral:rRNA from 1 species
UUUCGGGGUACACGAGCGGCGAACGGGUGAGUAACACGUGGGUGAUCUGCCCUGCACUCUGGGAUAAGCUUGGGAAACUGGGUCUAAUACCGGAUAUGACCACAUGCCGCAUGGUGUGUGGUGGAAAGAUUUAUCGGUGCAGGAUGGGCCCGCGGCUAUCAGCUUGUUGGUGGGGUAAUGGCCUACCAAGGCGACGACGGGUAGCCGACCUGAGAGGGUGACCGGCCACACUGGGACUGAGACACGGCCAGACUCCUACGGGAGGCAGCAGUGGGGAAUAUUGCACAAUGGGCGGAAGCCUGAUGCAGCGACGCCGCGUGAGGGAUGAAGGCCUUCGGGUUGUAAACCUCUUUCAGCAGGGACGAAGCGUGAGUGACGGUACCUGCAGAAGAAGCACCGGCUACUACGUGCCAGCAGCCGGGUAAUACGUAGGUGCCGAGCGUUGUCCGGAAUUAUG